rnacentral:rRNA from 1 species
AUGCUCUUGCAUAUUGAGAAGGGAAUCAAGAAGCAUCCUCACUUCUCAUACCUCGACUUAUUCAGGUCAUUCAUAUAUGAGGUUUGCUCAACUGAUUUCUUUGAGGACAAGUGGAAUGCAUUUGUUGGGAAGUACCGAACUAGUAGGAACCAAGACUGGUUGAAUAGAAUGUAUAGAAAAAGGAGGUUGUGGGCUGCGGCUUUUUUGUGCGACAAGUAUUUCAUGUCCAUGAAAACUAACCAACGGAGUGAGAGUCUGAAUUCAGUUUUGCAUCUACAUCUCAAUGGUUACAUGUCCUUGUUUGAUAUGCUAGAACACUAUGAGGUAUGUGUUUCGAACAUGCGUUGUAGAGAGGCACAGUCUGAUUCUGUGGCGUCACAAUCUUGGCCUGUUGCUGUUACGGAUAGUCGUCAACUUGAAGAGGCUGCAGCACGUAUAUUCACAUUUGCUAAUUUUCAGCUAGUUCAAGAACAACUACAGAAGAUACACAUGUUUGAUGUUGGUGAGGUAAUUCUUGAGGGAAACUAUACGAGAUAUAAUUUGAUUUCUAACAUCGUACCUGGACGGACAUUCUCAGUUGAGUACACAUGUCUUGGGGCUGAGUCCAACAUCAAAUGCAGCUGCCGAAAGAUAGAGCGUGACGGCUUACCUUGCAAGCAUAUUUUCCUUGUGCUAAAGCAUGUUGGGAUGCCACAUAUACCCAAGUGUUGUGUGUUGCAGCGGAUGUCCAAAAAGGCGAAAGGUGGCCUUCCUUCGCUUAGGCAUAGUGAUUUGGAUAUUGGGACACAGAAGCAAGCACGGUAUAAUGAGUUGAGAUCACUAGGGUCUGAGUUGUUUGACAUGGUAUCCAACAGUGAUGAUGACUUUGCCGAGGUGAAGGACUAUCUUCUUAGUCAGUUGUUGAAGAAGAGAAGCUGUUCCAAACCAGUCAAUGAUGCCCAAGCACAUGGUAAUAAGAAUAUUGUAAGUGGAGCUGUUCCCGAGCCUGGAGGUUUGGUCCUAGAUCCCUUAUGUGUAGUCACCAGGGCGCACCUAAAGGGAGAAUCAAAUCAUUUGAUGAAGGCCCAAAACCAAAACUGUGCAGUCGAUGUCGCAAACCUGGUCAUAAUAUCCGUAAGUGCCCUGAUGCAAUGCAGCAAUAGUAAGUUUUGUUGCUGCGGGUUGAGCUAUAUCAGGAUCACUUGA